rnacentral:lncRNA from 1 species
UAACGAUGAUAUUGUACGAGGUUCUAAGGCUGUACCCACCGGUGGUUGAGCUAGGACGUUCCGUUCCAAAAGAAAUAAAACUGGGGAAUUUGUUGUUACCAGUAGGAACAGAAGUUUCGGUUCCGAUCCUGCAGAUCCACCAUGACAAAGAUCUUUGGGGUAACGACGCACGGGAAUUUAAGCCAGAGCGGUUCGCGGAAGGGGUUUCCAAAGCAACAAAGAGUCAAGUCACGUUUCUGCCAUUCGGAUGGGGUCCUAGGAUCUGUAUUGGCCAAAAUUUUGCUUUGAUGGAAGCCAAAAUGGCGAUGGCUAUGAUUCUCCAACGCUUCUGGUUCGAGCUUUCCCCUUCCUAUGCUCACUCUCCUUACAGCAGGGGAACUCUUCGUCCACAGCAUGGUGCACAGAUAAUUUUACAUAAACUUGGCUGUAAUUGAAUUGUUAUGUAAACAAAUCUUUGUGAAAACAUAGCGUUUUAGUGUAUCGUCAAAGUCCGGUGUCUGUAAUGGUACAAAUUCGAUGCAUGAAUAGUAAAUUUUGAGAUGUUUGGUGAAGUCCGAAAUAAUAUGCAGAAAUUGAGCGUCUAUGGUGGACAUAGUUGAGGGACUAAUGUGGUAAUUAUCAAUCAAAUAAUUCGGUACAAAGACUUGUAUGGAAAUUAAAGCAGGGGGAGUUGAAAAUGACUACUCUGCUUUGGGCAUCAAUUUAGAAAGAUUUAAAGUACAACUGUGUUAUCAGUUAAGGGAUUUGUUUUAAAGAGGGAAUGACAAUUAAACCUCAUGGUUUAUUUGUGCAAGGGAACCGAUGAUGGGAUGAUUAUUCUUAGUGGUAAAAAAAACCAUUAUGGAGGUUAUUACACUUGUUAUCAUCAGCUUAAAAUUCGAAUGGGUUCAAGUCGGAUUAUAUCGAGCUUGUAAGAUGAGUUCACGGACCAAGUUUGCAUAAUAAAAUACCUAAAUGAAAAAAAAUUCUAUUUUAGAGGGACGAGAGCCCCUAUCAACUCCCGGCUCAGCCACUAAACAAUACCUAUAUCAUAUAAAUAAAUACCACCAUCUAAAAGACUCAAAGAAAAACACUCAACAAAGGAUAAAUAGAUAGAUGUUGGAUAAGUGUCCAAAAUAUGAUUUAAGUGAAGAUACAUGUGGUAGGUGUUACGGAAAUGUGAAGACAAGAAUCCCACUAACGUAUGGGAUGUGUGCAGUUGAAUGUAGGGAGCAAAAAGAGGAGUGAAUCAUUUUGGUAACAUUUGGACAAGAAACAUAAUGAACAAAAUGGAAGGAGAGGAAGCUAGUAAAAGAAUUUUUUUGGGUCAUAUAAUUUGUUCAUUUUGGAGUUGAAUUAUAAUUUUUUUAUAUAUUAUUUUAAAAUUUUAAGGAGUUAAAACAAAAUUAUUUUAUUUUCAGAUGGUCAAAGUAGAGGUGAUAAUGGGUUGGGCUAUUCGGCCCGGCCUGACGAUUCACUCGAAAAAUAGGAGGGUUUAGGUAAAAAUAUAGGCUCGAAAUAGGGAUUUGAGCAAAAAAAGAGUCCCGUUUAGAAAAUGGGCCAGGCCUCGGGUAAAAUUUUUUGGGCCCAAGCCUGACCUGAAUUAUAUAUUAAAUAUAUUUUUUAAUUUUUAAUCAAAUAUACUUUUUUUUAUUAAUUUGGUUAUUAUUUUAGUUCUAAUUUGUUUCAAUUUUAAUAUAACCACUUUUUAUUAUAUUUUCAAUUUGUGUAUUGUUUUAAGAAUUGUUUUAGUCUCAUUUUUUUAUUUAUUUUUUGUUUUAAUAAUUGUUUUAAAAAUUUUUAUUUAAUGAAAUAAGCUAAAAAAAUUAAUAUGGGCUUGGCCAGGCCAGGCUCGGGCCUAGUAAUUUUCUUUUGGGCCGGACUUAGAUAAAAUUUUAAGCCCAUAUUUUAAAUUGGGUCCUAACCUAAAAAAUGAACCUAAAAUUUUAUAUGGGCCCGACUUGGCCCUUGAUUACCUUUAGGUCAGAGCUAUCCUCGUUUUGCAUUUCUUUGAGAUUCAGCCUUAUCUACUGUGAUUGCCCACUCAAUUGAGGGUUGAGUAGAAAGAUUUGGUGAAGCAAGCUAAGCUAUCAAUCAAGGUUUGCAUAAUUAUUUAAAUGUAAUUCUAAUAUUAAAAUAAUUUUUUUAUUAAUAUAGUAUCAACAAGCAUUAAAUGUAAUGAUCAUAUACUAUUACAUUUUAAAGAAGAGAAAACAUGUUUGAACUUUAAAAACCACGUUACUAAAAACAUUAUCACAAACCUUGAAAUAUAAAAAAUAAUUUUUUUAAUAUAAUAAAAAAUUAAUUUUAAACCCGAGCUGAAUAAAAUUCUAAUUUUAGUUAAUGAUACGAACAACAAAUCAAUAUUCUAAGCCCGAGCCCUGCUCAUUUUUUUAAUAAACACCAAAAAUUUAUUUUGAAAAUAAAAAAUAAAAAAAAUAUUUUAAAAAUAUUUUAAAAAUAAAAAAAAUUAAAAAUAAAUAUUUAUUAUAUAUUCAGGCCGGGCCGGGCUAGCCUUGGGCUAAAAAAAUGGUGCCCGAGGCCCGGCCCAUUUUCUAAAUAGGCCUCAUUUUUUGUCCAAACCCAUAUUUUGGGCCUAUAUUUUUACCCGAACCUCUCAUAUUUUGGGCGGACCGUCGGGCCGGACCGGGCCGCCCGGCCAUGAACACCUCUAGGGCAAAGUCACUCAAUGAAUGCAUGGAAAGAAAUAUUGCAACUUGGUGACAGCUUUUGUUGGAGUUAUAUGCUUUUUUUUACAUAGUGGAACUUUCGGUGGAUUUUCAAGUUUCAUGAACUUUAUACCCUAGGCUUUACGUGAAAAAAAUCAUUGGACUUAAAAGUCUACCAAAAGUUUCACUAUAAUAAAUAAAUAAAUAAAUAACAUUGCUACAAGACUACAACAUAAAGUUACAAUAAGAGCUUAUAACUCAACAAAGGCUAUCAAUAAAUAAUCUCAAGCAAGCUAAAGAGAAAUGUUGAGAGUACCACUCAAAUAGUGAUUGACUUUAAAAAUUGAAAACCCGAAGUUAUUGUUGACACCAUUUUUUGGAUGAAAAUGUGUCGACUUGGGUUUUGAAAAUGAAAACGAAAACGAGAGUCGCCACCAAUCCUUUUUGAUAAGGUGUGACUGGGUCACCUUGAAAAGUGGUUGUUUUUAAUAAACGAUUUGAUUUUAUUAAAACAACAGUUUUGGUCCACGAAAUUCAGAAAAAUGAGUUCGGGAGUCGGUUACGCACGAGGAAGGAUUAGCACCCUCGAUACGCCCAAAAUUGGUACCUAGUUGAUUACUUAAUGUCUUAAUGUCGAAAAUUGAAAACUUUGGAGAAUUUUAAACAUACGAUCCUUGUAUUAAAACGUUAAAAAUUUUCAAGAAAAUGGGAUAUUUCACGUUAUUCGAUAAAGAGAAUCAUAUCCUAGUAAGUUAGGACACAAUAUCUCGAAUUUCCGAUAUCAUUUAAAACUUGAGUUUGAAAAGAUUCGUGUAAUAAAGUUUAAAAUAAUAUUCAAUUGUUUAAAUCAAAUGAAGAAAUCGCAACCCAAUACGUUAGGGCACAAUUUCUCAAAAUAUUAAACAUUGAAUAUUGCAUUUAUUUCGAAAAAUCCUCAUCUCGAGAAAACGUGUCACAUCCAAUGCAUUAGAAUACAACGUAUUGAAUUCUCGAUAACGAGCUUUUUCUCAUUUUUUAAAAGAGUAAUCUCGAUUAUUUAGGUUCAACGAAGAAAAUCAAAACCCAAUACGUUAGGGCUCGAUUUUCUCAAAGAUUCCAAAUACCGAGUAUUACUUAUAUUUUUAAAAUUUCUUUUUUGAAAUCCGAGUAAAAAUGAAUGCAAAAUAAUAAAUGAUGACAAUGUAAAUAAAAUGAUACAAGCAAAACAAUAAACAAUAAAAAUAAUCAUACGGGCAAGGUAACAAAUAAUUAGGAACUAAAGAAAGAGAACAAACAAUAAUAAACAUGCAAAUAAAUGAACAAAAUUAACAACAUGAUGCAAAUAUGAAAGAUAUAUAAGCACAUAUAUAUACAUAAAAUAAUGAGAAUAUGAAAAAAUGUGUGUAAUUGGACAUGUUUCGGAAUUAUUAUACAUUUAAAAAUCAUGUAAAUGUGUGUACAUACAUAUAUACAUAUAUAAUAAUCAUUAAAUAUAUAAAAAUACAUAUGUGUAGGUAUAUAUGAGUCAUAAAAUGUAAAGAAUAUAUACAAGAUAUAUUUUGAACGUAUAAAGUAUAUGUAAAUGUAUAUAUAUAAUAAAGGUGUAUGAAAGCAUAUUUUAUAUACGUGUAUUUAUAAAAUGUAUAUAAAUGUAUAUUGAUUUACCAAUACAUAUGGAUUUAUAAUUAUAGAAUAUAUAUAAAAUAUUUACAUAUAUACGUUUAUGCAUAUAUAAAAGUAAGUUAUUAUAAAAUAUGAGCAAGCAGAAUACAUAAAUAUAUAUACAUAAAAUAAAAAUGAAGAUGAAAAUAAUAUAAAACUACUUAAUAUAUUAAUAUAAUAGUAACAAAUUAAAAAAACAGAAAAUAAAGCUAAUAAUAAUUAAUAAUAGUAGUAAUAAUUAUAGCAGCAAUGAUAAUGAUAAUAAUAAUAACACUAAAAAAAUUAAUUAAAUAAUAAAAUUGCUAAAAAGGGAUUAAAUCGAAAUAAAAACAUAAAUACUGGGCGAUUUUGAAAUAAAAAACGGGAAGGACCGAAUUGCAACGCGCGUUGAAAAGGAAAGGGCCAAAACUGCAAAUAAACCACAGCCCCAAAACGCAGCGUUGAAAUGGACCAAGUCGAAAUAAAAAUAAAAUUGCAGGGGCUAAAUUAAAAAUAAGAGAAAAUAACGAAAAAUGAUCAAAUUGUAAUACGCUGCAAAAUCAGGGGGACUGCACGCGCAAAUAGCCCAAAAACUGAAAACACGCGGAUCCUCCGGGUCGGGUCGGGUCGGGUCAGGUCGACGUGCGGAUCCCCUUUGCUAAAACGGCGUCGUUUCAUGUUUAAUAUAAAUACUAAAAAAAGCUAAAAAAAACAGUUUCAUCUUUUUUUAAAAAAAACAGAGAGAAAACUCUCUCUUUUUCCCUCAGGUCCGGCCAUGGUCCGGCUUGGGAUUUCCGACGAGUCUCCGCCGCAAAGCCACCGUGUGUGGCGGCCGGAGGUUCAAAAUCAGACCUUUUUGGUCCUUUUUUAAAGUCCAUGGCCUCCAAGCCACAGAUCCGGGGCUGAAUCUCCUGAAUCGAAAGCCGAAGACCCAAAAAAUGGGGUGAAAUCCUUCGCCUUCCUCCCCCUUCCGGCGCUGCGCAGGUAAGGUUUUUUUUAACUCCUUUUUUACUAUCUUUAUUUAUAUAUAUACAUGAAGAGAAAAGAGAGCAAAAUAAAUAAAUAAAUAAAAACUUCAAAACUGAAGAGAAAAAGACCUUGAAUCUGCCUUAUUUAUUUUCUUUCGGUUGAAUCUGUUUUUGUUUGUUACAAAAGUUUCCAGGGAAGAGAAAAAAAAAGAGAGUUACAUGCUUGGCUUUUAUAGCCGAUAUUAAUUUCUAUUUUUUGUUUUCUUUUUCCUUUCUUUUCUUUGGCUGUUGCGUGUUUGCUUCCUUAUUGCAGGGUGAUUGACGGGAGUGGUUGGCGACAGAGUCGGUGGCCACUUGCACUGAUGAAGCAGCGGUGGCGGCGCUAGGGUAGGCUAGGGACGGCGGCAGUACUAGGGUUUCAGAAAACUGAAACCCUAGUUUGACAAAUUGGUUUCGGGCCUGUUGGGCUUUAAAUUAUGGGCUUUGUAAUUGGGUUUUGGGUUUAGGUGAUUUGGGUUUAGGUGGUAUGGGCCCGGGUCAAAUUUUGGGUAAUGGGAUUGGGGCAAAAUUGGGUUGUACAGUUAUAAUAUCCCAAACGAAAUCAAACUAUAAACAUUAAAUUUUUCGAGUCUUCUAGAUACUGUAAAAAAUUCAGCUCCAACGGACACCAAAUGAACCUAUGAUCGAAGAAAAUACGAAGACUAGUCUGGCUAAAUCAAUCUGCCAAACUUACUUUUUAUCUUAUCUUUAAUUUGCUGUGAAAUUCAAAACUACGUGUAAUACUCAAUUUAUGCUCGACCCAUUUUGUUAAAACAAAUAAAAAAGAAAAGAAAAACAAAAUAUUUAAAUUUAGCCCAAAUGUCCAUUUACACAGCCCAAUUACAAUUGCAAAUAAAAAAAACUAAAACUAAACCCGAUCCUAAGCAUCAGCCCAAAUUCGACCCAUGCCCAAAACGAAUUCAGAUGCAGAAACCCUAGCCCAGCCUUAAUGCAAGCAAAAGUCGAAAGCCCUAAUAGUUGGUGCGCCGCUCCUGUAACAGCCCGAUUUUGGGCCUAGUCGGAACAGUGGUUUUGGGACCACAAAUCCGACGAGAAAAAAAUGUAAUGGCCCGAAUUUUCAGAGGUGUCAGAACGGUGAUUCGAGAUCACUAAAUUCGACAAAUGGGUAGAAAAUAUUAUUAAUUUAGUAAGUAUAAGUUAAAUGUGAAGUUAGGAAAAUUUUUGAAAUGGUGAAUAGUACACUAGAAAUAAAUAUUAAAAUAAUUAGAAUCGAAAAUGAGGUAUCGAGACCUCGGGGAUUUUAAACCGAGCCAUAAAUAUUUUUAUAAAUAUUUAUGUAGUCUUAAAAAGUUAGUAUUAAAGUUUCGUUAAGAAAUUUUAAAGUUCCGAUAAUUAAUUGAACAAAAAGGACUAAAUUGUAACAAAUACAAAAUUAUGAGAAAUGAUUAAAUAGUUUAAAUGAUAAAAGGAAGAGGGCUUAAAAGGUAAAUAGACCCAAGGUCUAUUUGGGCUGCACGGCAAAGGCAUGAAAUCAGCAACAAAGUAAGGAGAAUUAAGGGCAAAAUUGGAAUAUUGCAAAAUUUACUUAAUAAAGUUAGGACCAAAGUGGAAUUAUCUAGAUUUCUCUUUAUUUUUCUGCAUUAUCAUCAGCAUAAACACCAUAGAAGGGUUUUCUUAAGCUGGUUCUUCCUAUUUUUACUGCAGGUAAGUUCAAUUCUUGAUUAUUUCUUGAAAAUUUUGUGUUUUUGUGACUUUUACAACUAGGCCCACUUAUUGUAUUCAUUAGUUUUUGAUUCUAUGAAAGAAGUUGAAAGUUGCUAUGAAUACAUGCUGGAAGUAUAUGAUGAUUUAGCAUGGAAUUAGAGCUUUAAAUUGUUCAUAUGCUGAUUUAUUGAAAGAAUUGAAUAGAAAGUGAAUGUUUGGGACCUAAUAGUAAAAGAGUUUGAAGAUAGAGUUAUAUGUGGAAAUUCUGAAUUUCAAUAGUUGUGAAACAACUUAUAAUGUCUAGGUUAAGUAUUAAUUGAGAAAAUUAAAUUAAUUGAGGGGUUAAUUGAGAAAGGACCGAAUUGUAUAAACUGUGAAAUUUGGGGCAAAAAGGAAAUCAACAUUUUACACUAAAGCAGUUUUGGACAGCAGCAGUAGUAUAACUUUGAAAAAUCACCAAAAAUUUUGAGAAUUGAAUUAGAGGGUGAAUAAAAUAUAAAAUUAAAGCUCCUUGAAUCUAGUUUCUCAUAGAAGAAACGGUGUAAGCAAUGGAAUUGUAAAUCAUGAGAUAUAAUAAAUUUUGUGAGACAAUGUCAUAAUGAUUUCGGGUUCCCCUAUUCUGACUUUGGAAAAUCAUCAAAAAAUUAAGAAAAAUAUGAGUUAUAAUUUAUAUGAUUACAAUCCUUAAUGAGUCUAUUUUCAAAGAAAAUAAACGGAAAUAUCAUCCAAAUUCUGUACAAUUAUAUAAUUCAUUUUUAGUGAAGAGUGGUCGAAACUGUCAGACAGCGAAAUAGGGGGAACUUUAAAGAAUAAACUGUACUAUUUGGCUGAACCAAAAAUUCUGAAAAUUUUAUGGUAAGAAGGUAUGUGAGUCUAGUUUUAAGGAAAAUUAACGGAUCUUAAUUUAGAGCUCUGUAGCUCUAGAUAAAAAUAAUUUAGUGACUCUGACUCAGAUAAAUAGCUUUGAAUGUACAUGUGAGUGAAUAGUGAAAUUAUAGCUAGUGUUGUUUAAGUGUGUUAUACACAUUAAGGAUAUGGAAUGGAGAGGAGGAGGAGGAGGAAAAAUUGGGAAAUAUAUGAAUGAUUUGUGUAUAAUUGGUCAUAUGCUUAAUUAUAAUUGAUAAACGAUGAAAUAGAAAUGAUGCAUAUAUUUGUGCAGUAUUGGUCAUGGUUUAAGCUCAUGUGGGAAAAUAAAGUUUAUAGUACGUGUGUAUUAUAUUUUUGGUAUAUGAUUUGGCAUUAAGUAAUGUCGUGAAUGGAUAUUGAAUUAACACAUGUUGGAAAGUUUGAUAUAUGAAUAAAUAUUGUGAUCAUGAAAGAGUGUUACAGCUCCUGCCUUCAGCACGCGUCGAGCCUCCGCGCCAAAUCCACGUGAGCCUCCGUACACUCCAACUAGCCUCCGUACCUGCAACAAACAAAAGUAGACAAAACAACAGCAAAGGAUAGGAAGAAAAGGCAGUAAAUAGUGAAGAUUUUUCUGUAAUUUUCUUUGGAUUUCAUUAUGUAUUUUCGGCUAUAAAAGAGCCAUUAGGAAUAUUUGUAAAGGGUUUUUUUUUUACCCUCACACACAAAGAGAAUAUACACGCAUACAAGAUCAAUAUAGAGAAAGAAAUAAAAAUAAAUAAAUACAAAGAAUAGAAAAUCAAGUUUCGAAGGUGAUUCUUUGAAAAAUCCUUUUCGUUUUUCUCAUUUUUCCUUUUUCCUGGAUCUUUUGUUCAUUUCAAGUAAAAAAAGUAUAGAAAGGAAACAAGUUUAGAGGAAGGAGGUUUACCUGGACGCCGGACCUCGCUCGCCUCGUCGAAAUCGAAGGCUGAGAGGGGAUAAAUCGGUUUUGCGGCAGAAGGAAAGGGGGGCUAGGGUUCUUGUUUUAACUUUUUUAAAAAAAAUAGAAAAGGUUGCUAAUUAGGUUUUAAUGGGGGAUUUAUGUGUGUUAAAAAAACGACGUCGUUUAGCGACCUUUGACCCGUGCGGUGACCCGACCCGAGGAAAGGAUCUGCGCGUUUUGGGUCUGAUGGGUUUAUUGCGCAACAAGCCCUUCCGCAUUUGUUUUUCGUUUCAAUUCGGUUUUUAUUUGUUUUUUAAUUGUUUUCUCAUAUUUAGUUCCAAUUUCAAUUGGGUCCAUGAUUAAACGACAUCGUUUUCAUUGAUUGGGUUUGAAGGCCUGGUUUUGUGCGUCUAAAUUGCAGCAAUGGUCCCCCUGAUGUGCAAUAGUUCUCGAUUUAGUCGUCUCCACACUUAUUUCAAAGUCGUCCUUGAGAUUUUGUUUUAUUUUUGAAAUUGUCCUUGUCUUCUUUUAAUUUAUAAUGAUAUUAUUAUUAUUGUUGUUGUUAUUAUUACUAUUAAUAUGGGUAUUGUUAUCAUGUUAGUUUAUAUCUAUUUAUUUACUUUUAUUUUAUUAUGUAUUAUUAUAUAAUGCUUUUAUCAUGUAUCAUUUUAUAUAUUUUCUAUGUUAAUCUAAUAUGAUAUAUAUAUAUAUAUGUAUUUUUGUGAUCUUAUUUUAUAAUACUUUUUUAACCCAUUUAUAUGCCUUUAUGUUUUAAAGAUUUAUAAUAUUUUGUGCAAAACUAUUAUAUAUAUAUAUAGAUAUACAAUUUAUAUUAGACCAUUUUUAUCGUACAUAUACGUAUAUAUAAUUUAUAUUUUGAAACUCUAUUUUAUUAUAUUUUAUGCCUCUAUAUACAUCAUUAUAUGUUUAUUAUUCUUUAUAUUAAACCUGCCAUUUCACUUAUAUAUUUUUAAAACCAAUGUGUAUUAUUCUUUCUUCUUUGUUAUUUUUUAUCUCUUAAAAUAGAUUGAUAAUUCAUUUAAUUUUUGAAUGUUGUAUGACCGAGAUUAUCGUUGCCAUUCUUGUCCAAAUUUAUCCAUUGCUUGUUCAUAUUAUUUGAUAAUUUAUCGCUCACUAGCAUGUAUCGUAAUUUACGAAUUAUCAUUUUGAAUUAUGUACUACCAUUCAAUCGCAUUACAUUUGUUUGGAAAACAUCGAAAUCGUUUUGCACAUAAACCUUCAAAAUGCUUGGUAUCCAAAAUUCUCGAGAGGAUUGUGCCCUAAUUUAUUGGGCUUCAAUUCCCCUUUUUGAUUUUAAAUAACCGAAUACCCCUUUUUCAAUUUGAACAUAGAAAUUCCAAAAUAAAAAAAAACUCAUUCUCGGGAAUUUGAUGCGUUGUGUCCUAACGUAUUGUAUAUGACAUAUUUUUCUCGAGACGAGGAUUUUUCUAACAAAUAAAAAUAAAGGCAAUAUUCGAUAUUUAGGAAUUUUGUGAAAUCGAACCCUAACUUACUGGGUUUUGAUUUUUUCAUUUGACCCAAGUAGGAUAUCCUUCACAAAUGCACAGAUUUUAAAAAAUCAAAAGAUAAACUUAAUUUCGAGGAUUUAAAAUGUUACACUCUGACUUACUGAGUGUGUCAAUUUAUUUCUUUGAAAUAAGUGAGUCUUAUCAUCCAAUUUAUUUUAUUCAAAUUUUCUUUUCCAAGGAUCGUAUUUUAAAAUUUUUUCAAAAUUUCGACAUUAAGACAUUAAGCAAUCAAUUCAGUACCAAUUUUGGGCGUCACGAGGGUGCUAACUCUUCCUCGUGCGUAAUCGACUCCCGAACCAGUUUUCUCAAAAUUCACAGACCUAAAAUUAUUUUCAAGGUGAUCCGAUCACACCACAAUAAAAGAUCAGUGGUGACUCCCAUUCCUAUUUUUAAAAGUCGAUUCCUGUUUUUCAUAUAUAAAAAAAUGGUUUCGACACUACGGUUUUGUUUGUUUCCCUUAGAACAACUUUCAAAAAGUUAAUUUUGAAAAAUGGAUUGAAUUUUCAAAAUAGAUGAUAUUUUUUUGUGUUAAAAUUUUAUUCGUUGUUUGAAAAAAAAAUUUAAAUCAUUUUCUUAGAAUUAUUUUUAGUGAAACAAAUAUAUCAUAAAUAUAUUUGUUAUAAAAUAUUAUAUUAAUAUUUUCUUUUAACAAUUAAAAUAUAUUUUGUGAUAAGGUAAUAUUUUAUAAUAAUUAAUAUCAUAUAUACUUAAUAAUAAAUCAUGUCUAAUUAAAAUUUAAUUUCAAUUAAAUAUAUUAAUAAAGCUACAUUUAAUCAUAUUUUAUAUAAUUAAAAUAUUAAUAUAAAUAUUUUUCAAUAAUAUAUUAAAGAAUAUUUAAAAUUUAAAUUUAUUAUUACUAAGAUUAAUUAUUAAAACAAAAAUGUAAUAUUAAAUAAUUUAUCCAAUGAUAAGUUAUAUUAAUAAUUUAUUAUAUUAUUAAAUAUAAAUAAUUAAAUAUGUAUGUUUAAUAAUAUUAUGUUAUAAUAUUUAUUACUAAUAUUUUAAUAUUUUUAAACAACCAUGUUUUAAAGAUGGUGGUGAUGGUGAUGGUGCAGGCCCCCUUGUUAAAAUUACAAUAUUUUUAAGUGGGAUGCAUGUAAUAUAUUGUUAGGGUUUUAGAGUAUGUGGUCUUUAAAAGGGUUAAAUUAUAUAUUUAUAUAAUAUGAUUAUUGUUUAUAAACAUAAUAUUGUAGAUAAGUUUAUAUGUAUGUCAAUAUGUAUCCUACUCUAAGGUUAAUAUGUAUUUUUUAGAUGUGGGUUUACCUAUAUAAUAGUAUGAAUCCAUCAUGUGGUCUCAUGAAAUAUACAAACACAUAUCGUGCGAACACAAAGUACGAACAAUAAAAAAUACAAAUCAAGACCCAAUUGAAUAAUUGAAUAACGGAUAGGUAAUAAUGAAUAUCAUAACAUUUACUAUCCCCUCUUUUCUAGUGAGUUAUUGUUUAUGAUAAAUUUGCAACAAAUGUUUUUAUCAUUAUUUUGUUGGUAAAUGAUAAUAAGAUUAAACAUUACUUUCUUAAGCUCCUUCAAUUCUUUGGACGUUAGCGAGUAAACUUGAGCUUCAGCAUUCCACAAACACCUUAAUUUGAAGACACAGUUCUCUCAUACUAAAAACGACAUGGACGUUUACCUUGUAAUUAGAGAUUUGGGCUCAUUGUUGGGUUAUUAAUGAUACGGGGAUGGAGAGCUUUAAACUGGGUAUGGUUGGCCCCAAAGAGGCUCGAAACGUGCUUGAGACUAGAGGUGAUCAAGGGCCGGGUUAGGCCCAGUCUAGAAAAAAAAUUAGGCCCAUUUUUUAGAUUUGAACUCGGCUCGGCUCAAAAUAUAAGCUUAAAAAUUUGUCUAAGUUCAGUCCGAAAGAAAAUUGUUAAGCCCAAGCUCGACCCAUAUUAAAUUUUACAACACCAAAAAAGUAUAUUUAAAUAAAAAUAAAAUAUAUAUAUUUAAUAUAUAAUUCGGGCCGAGCUGAACUCGGGCCAAAAAAGUUUUACUCGGGGCUGGUCCGUUUUCUAAACAGACUUCGUUUUUUUUGCCAAAAUCCAUAUUUUUACCCGAAUCUUCCUAUUUUUUGGGGUGUGCCGUCGGGCCGAACUGGGUAACCGAACCAAUGAUCACCUCUGUAAUCACUGAAUUUUGUCCGGGAAUAACUUUCGUUAAAAAAAUUUUAAAAUUAAAAAAAAAUUAACUUUUUUGCUUUUUGACCCCUAAACUUUUCUAAAAUUUCAUUUUAACCCCUAAACUUUCUCAAAAUUACAGUUCAACCCCUAAACUUUUCUAAAUUACAUUUUGACCCCUAAAAUUUCUUAAAAUUACAUUUGGACCCUUACACUUUCUCAAAAUUACGUUUCGGCCCCAAAAUUUUUGCUACAUUUACAAAUUGGUCCUUCUGUCAGAAAAUCCCCAAUAAUCCGGCGGAUUUCGUGCACCUGCCCCACUAUUUCCGGCAGCCGGCCUAGGGCAUGGCCUUCCCCACCUGCUACCUGCAAACAAGAAGCAAAAUCAACUAUAAAAAGGAGUUUAAACUCCAAAAAUCGGACCCCCACCCACGAAAAAAAUAAAAAAAAAAAACUUGAAAGAAAAAGAAAAAAGCUUUGAGAAAGAAAAAGAAAAGGAAAAGAAGAGAGGGGAGAAGGAGAGGCCGACCAUCGGCGAGCCACCGGAGGAGGCGACGGCAGCAGCGGCAUCGACGGCGGCGUAGAAGACCGAACGGAGAAGAAGAAGAAGAAGAAAAAAAAAGAAAGAAGAGAAAGAAAGAAGGAAGAAGAAGAAGAAAGAAACAAAAAAAAAAGAAAAUAUUUUGUAAUAGUCGGCCCGGCCCGACUCGACCUGCACGACCCGUGACCCGACCCGACAGCACCAGCAACCUAGCAGGCCACGGUAGCAGCCCGGCGGCCCAAAGAGUAGCCCAAAAAGAAAAAAAGAAGAAGAACAAAGCAAAAAAAAAAAGCAGGCCAUUUUCAGCAGGCCCAGUGCAGCCCAGCAGACCCAGCGAACCCAGCAGGCCAGGCCCACACGCAAGCAGCCCAACAGAAAAAAAGGGAAAGAAAAAGAAAAGAAAAAAGAAAAAAGAAAAAAGAAGAAGAAGGGGUUCAAUUUGUAUUAUCCGUUCGGCGAAGCUCGUGUUUUGAGGAUUUUUUUUCGGUAAUUUUAUUUUUUAAUUUUAAUUUAAUGCUCGUAUUUUUUUUAAAUAUUAUUAGUAUUUUAUGCAUUUUUAUAUUUUGGCAUUUAUAUUUUUAAUUUAAUUUACUUCAAUUUUUAUUUUAUUUUAUUUUAAAUAAUUUUAAUAAAUGAGGCAACGAAUCGAUUUAACAUAAAAUCGUUGAUUUCAUUGCUAUGUUGGGUGAAUAUCAUCGGUUUGUGUUAAACACGAUACACCCUUUUUAAAAAAAAGAAAAAAAUCGAAAAAAUUCUAAAAUUCUCAUUUUUUUAAAAUUCUCGUGUUUUAAUAGAAUCACGAUUAAAUAUUAAGUUGAAUCGAUUUGGCACUAAUUCGAUGAUUUCAUCUCCAUGUAGGGAUGAAUAUCAUUUAUUCGUGUUAAAUAUGGUACUUCUGAAAAAAAAUCGGGUUUCAAAAAUUUUCGUGUUUUCAAAAAUUCUCAUGUUUCAAAAAUCUUCGUGUUUUAAAAAUUCCAGUGUUUCAAAAAUUUUCGUGUUUUCAAAAAAAAAUUUCUCGUGUUUUUAAAAAUUCCCGUAUAUCGAAAUUUUCUUGUUUUCAAAAAAAAAAUUCCAUGUUUCAUAAAUUUCCGUGUUUUCAAAAAAAAAUUCUUGUUUUUCAAAAAUUUUCGUUUUUAAAAAAUUUGACCGUGUUUCAUAAAUUUUCGUAUUUCAAAAAAACCUCGUGUUUCAAAAUUUUCGGGUUUUUUUAAAAACAAUUCGUGUUUCUAAAAUUCUCGUAUUUUAAAAAAAAUCGUGUUUUCAAAAAAAGAAAAAGUUGUUGUGCUUUAAAAUUAUCGUGUUUCAAUCGGAUCACGAUUAAUAUUAAAUUGAACUCGUAUUUUUGAAAAUGAAAACAACGCGCGUUUAACGAGAUACCAAUUUUGGGCGUCGCGAGGGUGCUAAUACCUUCCUCGCGCGUAACCGACUCCCGAACCUUAAUUUUCUCUGAAUUUUUACGUGGACCUAAAAUUACCUCUUUUUAGAAAAGUUUAAAAAUGAAUUUUUCUUCUAAAAAGAGAAUUUUGUAGGUGUCCGAUCACACCUAAAAAAAGAUCGGUGGCGACUCCUUUUUUUCAAAUAAAAUCGAGAUUCAGUUUUCAAGUUUUUAAUAAUUACUUCGACAAGCGCCCGUGCGCAAAAUUUUUAAGUCGCUACAGCCUCUACUUGAGACAACAGGGUUUUGCAGGGAAUUCUUACAGGUUCGUUUCUGGCGACAAAAAAGAGCUCUUCACUAUAAGCAUACAAACAAGAGCCAAAACUAUGCCUCUUAGUGAUGAUAUUAGGCCUUAUGUUAUUCCUUUUCAACAUCAAACCGUCAACCGGUAUGGUAUGUUUUUUUUAUUUAAUCUGCAAUUUGUGAUAAUUCUUUGUUAUUUAUGUAUGGAAUUUAUUGGGAGGAAAUGCUGGAAAGAAUUCAUUUACGAGAAUUGGUCCAAGAUCAAGGGUGAACAUUACGGACCCUGAAAAAUAAGAGAAAUACUUAACAAAUUUAAUGACUUCCAGAAGAUACGUACCAAUCCACUGCUUAAUUUGCUUGUAAGCGGCCUUGUUAACCUCGAAGGAGACCGAUGGAGCAAGCAUAGAAAAAUCAUAACCCUUGCAUUUCAUCAAGAUAAGUUGAAGGUAUAGAAUAGUAAUGGGUACUCAAGACUUUAAAGAAAACAUCAUACUUAAGCCUAUGCUUUUCUGAUUUAGAAAUAAUUGGAUGCAGAAUAUGUUGCCAGCAUUUUAUCAAAGUUGUAGUGACAUGUUUAAGCAAAUGGGAGAAGAUGGUGUGUACAGAAGGAUACAUUGAGUUAGAUGUGUCGCCUUAUCUCGUAGAUUUGACAAGAGAUGUUAUUUCCCGAUCUGCUUUUGGAAGCAGCUUCGAAGAAGGCAAACGAAUUUUCCAAUUACUAGAGGACCAACUCGUUCUCACAAUCAAAUUAAUACAAACUGUUUACAUUCCAGGAUGGAGGUAACCGUCUACUUUAAUUUACUUGAAAAAGGUUGCAAAUGUUGGAAUUGGCUAAAUUCGUGUUUGUUUUCUUGAAGGUUUUUGCCCACAAAGACAAACAGGGAGGUGAAGAUGAAACACAAAGACAUAAAAGAGUCGCUCAGGGAAAUGAUAAAAAGAAGAAAGCAGGCAAUUAAAGCAGGGGAAGAGAGUAAUGAGGACUUGUUGGACAUACUUGUGGAAUCCAAUAUCAGAGAAAUGGAAGCAAAGAAUAUGGGGAUGAGCAUUGAGGAUGUGAUUGAGGAAUGCAAGCUGUUUUACUUAGCUGGCCAGGAGACCACUUCGGUCUUACUGGUGUGGACUAUGGUUUUAUUAGCAAGGUAUCCCGAUUGGCAAAGUAAAGCAAGAGAGGAGGUUUUGCAUGUUUUGGGUGACAGUAAACCUGAUGCUGAUGGCCUUAAUCGUCUCAAAGUUGUAAGUCCCUAGCAUGUCUCUUGAAGGCCCGAUCUCUGAGGUCGACAACUCAAAAACUUGGUUCUUUGUUUCGCUAAUUCUACAGUUAACAAUGAUAUUGUACGAGGUUCUAAGGCUGUACCCACCAGUGAUUGAGCUAGGACGUUCCGUUCCAAAAGAAAUAAAACUGGGAAAUUUGUUGUUACCAGCAGGAACAGACGUUUCGGUUCCAAUCCUGCAGAUCCACCAUGACAAAGAUCUUUGGGGCGACGCCGCACGGGAAUUUAAGCCACAGCGGUUCACGGAAGGGGUUUCCUAAGCAACAAAGAGUCAAGUCACGUUUCUGCCAUUCGGAUGGGGUCCUAGGAUCUGCAUUGGCCAAAACUUUGCCAUGAUGGAAGCUAAAAUGGCGAUGGCUAUGAUUCUCCAACGCUUCUGGUUUGAGCUUUCCCCUUCCUAUGCUUACUCUCCUUACAACAUGGCAACUCUUCGUCCACAGCAUGGUGCACAGAUAAUUUUACAUAAACUUGGCUGUAAUUGAAUUGUUAUGUAAGCAAAUCUUUGUGAAAAUAUAGUGUUUUAGUGUAUCGUCAACGUCUGUCUGUAAUGGUACAAUUCCGAUGCAUGAAUAGUAAAUUUUGAGAUGUUUGGUGAAGUCCGAAAUAAUAUGCAGAAAUUGAGUGUCUAUGGUGGACAUAGUUGAGGGACUAAUGUGGUAAUUAUCAAUCAAAUAAUUCGGUACAAAGACUUAUAUGGAAAUUAAAGCAGGGGGAGUUGAAAAUGACUACUCUGCUUUGGGCAUCAAUUUAGAAAGAUUUAAAGUACAAAUGUGUUAUUAGUUAAGGGAUUUGUUUUAAAGAGGGAAUGACAAUUAAACCUCAUGGUUGAUUUGUGGAAGGGAACCAAUGAUGGGAUGAUUACUCUUAGUGGUGAAAAAAAAACUAUUAAGGUGGUUAUUAUAGUUGUUAUCACCAGCCUAAAAUUUGAAUAGGUUCAGGUCGGAUUAUAUUGAGCUUGCAAGAUUAGUUCACGGACCAAACUUGCAUGAUAAUAGGUAUUCACAACAAGAUAUCUAUAGUUUCCAACAAAGUCACAUGUGAGAUCGUGCAUUAGAACCGCAUAAACAUGUUUUAUGUUUAGAAUAUGAUAUGUGUCUAUGUGUAUAGAAUCUACCUAAUAUAUCAUAUUAAUGAAUAGUAUCAAUUGCGGAGCCAAAAAAUUAUUUGUGAGGGGUCAGAAUUAAAUUGUAUAUUUUUACAAAAAUAAAAAUUAAAUUUCACUAUUUUAAUAGUUUAUUUAUUUUUAAUUUUUAAAUGAUUAAAUUAAAUUUUAUAAAUUUUUAGGAUCAAAGUAUAAUUUUAUCAUUACUAAUUUAAAAUUUUAUAAAUUAUAAAAAGUUUAUAUGAAAAGUUUUCUAUUUUAGGGUGGCCAAAGCCCCUGUCAACUUCUGACUCGAUCACUUGCGGUUAGUUGGGUAAAGACUCAAGAAAAAUAGCGGUGUGUUUGGAUGGACGGUGCGUUUACUUGCGGUUAGUGUAAAAAUAGCGGUGGCGGUGAGAUUAGAUACUAUAGCAACACUGUAGCGUGAGACAAAAAGUAAGUUAAACGCACUGCACUGCACUUAAUCGUCUAUCUAAACUCACCAUAAGUGUCUAAAAUAUGAUUUAAGUGAAGAUACGUGGGGUAGGUGUCAUGGAAAUGUAAAAAAAAAAAAGAAUCCUACUAAUGUAUGGGAUGUGUACAAUUGAAUGCAGGAGUGAAUCAUUUGGGUAACAUUUGGACAAGAAACAUAAUGAACAAAAUGAAAGGAGAGGAAGCUAGUAAUAAAAGAUUCUUUUGGGUUAUAUAAUUUGUUUGGCAUAUAUUUUUAUAAUAUUUAAAUAUCAUUUUGGAGUUGUUGAAUUAUAAUUUAUUUUUAUGUUUUAAAACAUAAUUAUUCUAUUUUUAGAGGUCAGAGUAGAGGUGAGCAUGAGUCGGGCUACUCGGCUCGGGCUGAAGGCUUGCGCAAAAUGUGAGAGAUUUGGGUAAAAAUAUAGGCCCGAAAAAUGAGUUUAGACAAAAAAAAAUAUAAGGCCCGUUGAAAAAACAGGCUAGGCCUUGGGUAAGGCAUUUUGGCCCCAGACCCGGCCCAACCCAAAUUCACUAAGGGCACGUUUGGUUCGCUGUAUUGGAAUAGAGGCGUAAUGUAAUAGAGGCGUAAUGGAAUAGAGACGUAAUAGCAAAUCAAUUGUUUGGUUGAAUGUAAUGGAAUAGAGGCGUAAUAGUAUUCUUAUAUUUGGUUGAAUGGAAUAGAGUUGUAAUAGCAUAAGGAAAAAAGUUAAAAUGACUAGAAUACCCUUAGCAGAAAUUUGUUUAGAUAAAUGAUUAUUGUUAUUGUUAUUAAAUUUUAAUAAGAUUAUUAAUAUCAGUAAUAAAUAAUUUAAUCAUAUUUUAACAUAAUUAUUAUUAAAUAUAAUUUAAUAAAAAUAUAUAAUUUAAUAAAAUUCUUAAUAUUAAAUAUUCUUAAUAUUAAAUUACUAAAAUCAUAAUAUAUAAUACUAUAAAAUAUAAUUUAACAUAAUUAUUAUUAAAUAUAAUUUAAUAAAAUUCUCAAUAUUAAAUAUAUUCUUAUAUGAAUUUACUAAAAUCAUAAUAUAUAAUACUAUAAAAUAUAAUUUAAAAUAAUUAUUAUUAAAUAUAAUUUAAUAAAAAUAUAUAAUUUAAUCUAAAGUUUGAAUGUGUAUUUACCUAGCAAAAAUCAAUGAACUCUCGUGUAACUAUAACCUUAAUAAUAUAUGAUGUAUAAUUAAUAUUUCGUGACUAAUUAAUAGCAUAGAGAUAAAUAUAGUAAUGACGAAUUUAUAGUAUACGAUUAAAAUGCUAAUAAUUUAUAGUAUACAAUUAAAAUAUUAUAAAUAAAAUAAUAGUAAAUGAUAUAUAAGAUAAAUUAACAUAUAAAUAAUUCAGAUAUGUAAAGGAUAUGGCUGAAUAUGGUUGCUCCAAUAAUAAAGGAUAUAUAAUAUAUCAUGGUGUUGUUUUGUUUAGAUAGUUCGGUAACUUAGGAGGGUAUGUAUGAAGAACACAAGUUGAUGCAGAUAGAAAGACGACAAUAUUACAUGAUUACAAUAUGAUAUAGUAUAUAUAUAUAAUUUAUGGAUUCCUUGCAAUCACGUGGGUUCUCUAGCCAUUUUAUUUAGCAUAUCCAGUGAUAUUAAGAUCCAGAAUUAUAAUACAACUAAAAUCUGUGCACACUUAUGGAUGAUCCAACAAAGCCUCAGUUGGCUUUAGGUUCCAAAUCUUGCAACCCACAAACCAUAUUUGCUGGCACUGCAACAUCAAUCAUCUUAGGAUAUGCCAAGUUAAGAUCUGUUGCACCAACAAAAACAGAGGAGAAAUUGGAAGGCGAUCCGAAAAAACCCAAGGAUGCUUUUUCUUUUCUUUUUUUUUUAUAAUCUUUAUAGACUGGUUAUAUUGAGCAUCAACUUACUUUCCAUGAUGUUUUUGAAAGUCUCUUACAAAAAGGGUAUUCAACAAAUAAUAUAAUCAGACAUAUUGAUAGGACAAAUUGAAACUAGUAUUCUAUGAUCAUAAUAAAGAGUAAUCUUUAAUCAAAUGCGUGAAGGUAUUGAGAUGUCAUGCUUUUUCAUGAUUUCCUGUUUUACCAUGGCGAUGUUCAUUGGAAUAGUCCCAUCCAAGAGAAUCAAACCAAUGCUCAGCAAGAAAUGUUCAAUGCAUAUGUAAUUUUAAUUACAGAAGUUAUAUGCAGCUUAUAUGAGUUCAAGAUCAUAAAAUACUUCAUGGACAAAAGGAAACCCUUUCUUAUCACUGAAAUGAAAAUAGGCACUCUUAAUUUUCUAUUGUCAAAAGUAGCAAGCCAUUUUCCAAAGAAAAGGGAAGAUGGAUGGUUCCAGAAAGAAUACCUCAUCCUUUGUCAAGUGUGGAUUAUAUAGCAUCUCCUCUCCCACAGUGGUUACCUAUAAUCAAUGAGGUUUAUAAAAUCGAGCAAUCAUUUAUAUAUGUAAGAAAUGAUAGGAAUAAAGUUUUAUAUCUUACUGAGAAUCCUUUGUAGUCAUGAGCUGGAUAUAGCAAUGUCUCUUUCGGUAAUGUAAAAAUCUGGAUCCAUGAAACAAAUAAGUCCAUAAAUUUUAUUCAAAUUUUGACAAUUACAAUAAAAUUUUGAGAACUCAAAGAAUGUGACCAUAAAAAGUCCCCUGUCCUUACCUGUGAAUGCACUGACUUGUAGAGUUGCUGUGAACUUCCACCCUGCAAAAUGCAUUAAUCAGUGCUAGUCAAUGGCUACUGAAUGUGGGAGCAUUAGAGAAAAUUAUCUUAAAAACUUAAGUAUAACAAAAUUAGACAAUGACAUCCAGAUGGAAAGAAAUUGCCAGCAUAUAAGACCAGCAUUUAUGUACUCACGACUGAAAAUCCUUUGCAAAAAGUAUAGCCCUGAUAGUUCAAACUUUUACUUCAAGGAUGAUUUAAUUACUGAUUAGUUUGCCAUGAGGCUUGUGAAUGACAAACACUUUAUGUGCAACCACAGUAACAAGGUAAGCACCAAUAAGUAGAAGACUAGACGAAUAGGUAACCAAGAGUUAGAGCUAAAACAGACAAACAGAGCUACUAUCCAAUGAGCUAAAACAUACAAACAGAGGUAUAUUUUAAUAAUGAAAAUAAUCGAUUGCCUUAAACACCAUAUAGUGUUCCAAUCAAUCAAAUUAUAGCAGGCAUUAAAACCUUUCCCUUUCGUUAAUUCACAACUAUUAGCUUCAUUAAUCAAAUCCUAUGUACAGUUGAUCGAUUGAAAGUGUAACAUUUCAAAGACGAAAUUUAAACGCAAAACUGGUUAACAUUGAAAUUACAUGUAAAUAUAACCUAAAAAAUCAAAAAAUUAAUCAUAUUUUCAGAUUUCAGGCCGAAAUGGAAUGAAAUGAAAGGUAAAUCCAUUUUUUCCCCAAAAAAACAAAAAUAAAGAAAUAAUAUUUCAAGAACAGAUCAUUAAAUUCAUGGUAUAUAUAAAGAAAUUUAAUUGAAAUCAAAGGAAUAGAAGAAGGGAAAAGCGUACUUGGAACCAUUGCUGCUACUCUCUGUUACUCUGUUACCUCAUACGAUUCGUUAAAGGGUUGUUAGGGUUUGUUAAAAGGUUGGUCAGGAUAGAAGCAUGAAAAGGAGGGAGAAGGUUGGAAGGAAAUGGGAAGAAAAAUGAAAAAAAGAAGAAGAUGCUGCAACGGCUUGGAGGGUAAAAGAGGACCGAUUAGGUAAUCCUUUCUUUUGGAAGGGAUUACAAAUCGGCGCUGCAUAAGGGAAAAUGGGGAAUCAGUGCGCUGCGUAAUAGGCCCGUAUUAAGGCAAUACAGCCAACCAAACAUGGUAAUCAGUGGGGCCACGAAUUAGGGGUGUAUUGGCUAAUCCAAUACACCCAACCAAACAUGCUCUAAAGGACAAAAAAAUUUGAUUUUUUAAAUAUUAUUUUCUCUCUAUUUUGCUAUCAUUUUACUAUUAUGUUGCUACUAUGUUAUUGUUAUUUUUGAAUAUUGUAUAAAACUUAUUUUAUUGUUAAUUUUGUUAUUAUUUUAAAGACAUUUGUUAAUUUUGUUAUUAUUUUAGAGACAUUUGUUUGUUAAGUUGCAUCUAUCUUAGUGUUAUUUAAGUAUACAUAUUUUUUAAAAUUUAUUUUCAAUUUAUUGGGAAAUAUUUAUUUUGAUGUUUUUAGUAUUUUGGAUGUAUUAUAUAUAUUAAAAUUAUAUAAAAAUUAAUAUGGCCGAGCCAGGUCAGGCCCAGAUUUUAGCAUUUUUAUUCAGGUCGGGCUUGAGCAAAAUUUUAAGCCCAUUUUUUGGGCCAAACCAGGCCUGGGCUUAGCAAAUGGGCCUAAAUUUUUAGUCAAGCUCGACCUAAACCCGAUCCGGCCCAUGCUCACCUCUAGAUCAGAGCUGCCCUCGCUUUGCAUUUCUUUGAGAUUCAGUCUUAUCUACUGUUGAUUGCCCACUCAAUGGAGGGUUGAGUAGAAAGAUUUGGUGAAGCAAGCUAAGCUAUCAAUCAAGGUUGGAGAAAGCUUAGGAGGUCACAAUGCAUAAUUAUUUAAAUGUAAUUCUAAUAUUUAAAUAAAAUUUAUUAAUAUAGUAUUAACAAGCCCUAAAUGUAAUGAUUAUAUACUAUUACAUUUUUAAGAAGAGAAAACAUGUUUGAACCUUAAAAACAUCAUUAUUAAAAAUGAUAAUUACAAAUUUUAAAAUAUAAAAAAUAUAAUUAAAAAUUAAUUUUAAACCCGAGCUGGAUAAAAUUCUAAUUUUAGAUAACGAUACUAAUAAGAAAUCAAUAUUAAAAUGAAAAUGAAAAGUAAUUUAAUAUAAUUUUUGAGUCUUGGGCAAAGGCACUCAAUGAAUGCUUGGAAAGAAAUAAUGCAACUUGGUGAUAGCUUUUGUUGGAGUAAUAUGCUCUUAUUAUAGUUUUAUGUUUUUAUCUUGCAAAAACAACAUAUUGGAGUUUUCGGCAUGAUUUUUUCUUAAUACUUUACAUGAAAAAUAAUAAUGGGACUUAAAUUGCUACAAUAUUACAACACAAAGUUACAAUAAGAGCUUAUAACUCAACAAAGGCUAUCAAUAAAUAAUCUCAGGCAAGCUAAAGAGAAAUGUUGAGAAUACCACCCGAAUAGUGACUGACUUUAAAAGUUGAAAACCCGAAGCUAUAUUAUCUCAAACGAAAUCAAACCAUAAACAUUAAAAUUUUCAAGUCUACUAGUUACUGUAAAAAAUUCAGCUCCAACAGACACCAAAUGAGCCUUUGAUCGAAGAAAGUACGAAAAAUAGUCUAGGUAAACCAAGCUUCCAAACUUACUUAUCUUAUCUUUAAUUUGCAGUGAAAUUCAAAAUUAAGAUUUUGUUUAUUUCACUUGGAACAACUUUCAAAAAAUUAUUUUUGAAAAAUGAAUUGGUUUUUCGAAAUAGAUGAUAUUUUAUUGUGUCAAAAUUUUAUUCAUUGUAGGAAAACUUUUUUUAAAUCAUUUUCUUAGAGUUAUUUUUAGUUAAAUAAACAUAACAUAAAUAUAUUUGUUACAAAAAAUUAUACUAGUAUUUUCUUUUGACAAUUAAAAUUUAUUUUAUGGUAAGACAAUAUUUUAUAAUAAUUAAUAUCAUAUAUAUACGUAAUAAAAAUCAUGUUUAAUUAAAAUUUAAUUAAAAUUAGAUGUAUUAAUAAAGCUACUCCUCCACAACCCGCAUCCGCAACAGCACCAGCACCAGCACCAGCACCAGCAUCAGCACCAUGGGACAACUAUUGGGUUUCCUCCACCUGCCUCUAUCGCUCCUCCUCAGUAUUACCCCCAAGCCUACCAGACCGUGCCGGGUAUUCUACAAAUAUGAAAAAACCUUCUUCUCUUUUUAUUAGCUUAUCGAAAUGAAGGAUUUUGAGAUUUGGGCUUUUGUUAGAUGGAUGGUUAAUGAUAUUUUUUAGAUGAAAGAUACAAGUUUUUUAAUGUUUUAGAAGAAAAGGUGUUUAAAUAUUAGGAGUUUUUUAGCAGAGAAAGAAGAUAAAUAAAUGCAUAGAGAUACAUUAGCAAUAUUAUUUGGAUUUGGUUGUCUAAUGUAAUGAAGAAUUUUUUAAGGGUGACCUGAGUAGGUGUGGCAAGAUUCAAAGUUUUUUCUAUUAUAGCAGAUAUAUAUAUAUUAAUGGUUUAAGAAGACUAGAAGUCGGUUUCAAAGGAAGAUGAGAAAUAAAAGCAUUUAUAUAUAUGAUAUGUCAUUAAUUCAUAAACCAAAUAUAUAAAGUAUGUAAAAGUGUCAGGGGUUAAUCAUGGUGUUUUGACAAUCCGGUAACCUUCAACUUGAAGAAAACCUUAGGUUUCAAAAAUUUAUGUGAAGAGUUAGAAUGGUAUGCUUCAUGGAUCUGAAUAACUAGAACAGUGUAAGAGUGGUAUAUUGUGUCAAGUUUGGUUUCUUGUAUAUAAUUGUAUCGAAAACAAUGUUACAUGAGUUAAAAUGAAUGUUCAUCCAAUUUAACAAAGCCUGCAUUAUGUUGAUCAAAAUUUUUAAUUCAUGUUGAGGUUUCUUCCGUGAUAUCUUUGAUGUCAAGGUUAUGAUGUUGCUGAAGGGACACCUGUAAGAGAUAAGCCACCGUGCUGUGGCAUUGGAUUCGGAUGGUUCUUGUAAGUGUACAUAGUUUUCUUUGUUUUUAAAGAGUUCUUUACAUAUGAAGUAAAACAAGUAGCGACUUGAUGGAUAUGUCAUUAAGCUUUAACUUAAGCAAAUCAUUUUCCUUCAUCUCUAAUUGCCAUUUCUUUAAAAGAAAAAGAGGAAGUUUUGUAGUUUACAGUUUGGACAAAUGGAAGUUAAUAUAAUGCACUAUUUGGAUGGACUAUGGAGAUAUCCAAUCAUAUUGGAUGAGUUAUAAGAAACCUGUGAGUUCAUAUUGGGUUUACUUUAUAUCAUAAUUAGAUUGUUGAGCUGGCUGUCAUACUUAGAUGGUAUUUCACGUUGCUACUUGUUAAACUAUACCACUUUCACAUUCAUACGUGAAAUGGCUGGGAUUUAGUGCCAUUCUACUUAGCAGCCUCGUGUAAUACACAGGUGAAAUGUUUAUGUCUUCAUGUCACCUUAAAGUUCCCAUUUCCAUGACGGUAUUGUUAAGUAAAGACUGGUACAUACCCCAAAAUACGGAAAUUGUUUUGGAUGUAUACUAUACUUUACCAUGCAUGAUUUUUUACAAGUUUGCAUGGUAUUUUAUCAUUAUAUUGGUCUUUAUUUUCUAUACUCGCAGCUUCCAUUAAUAUAUUUUUAUGAAUUUUAUCAUUAUGCUGGUUUGAAGGUUCAUCAUUGGUUUCUUCAUUGGGGGCCAUCCCUGGUAUAUUGGAUUCUUUGUUUUACUUUGUGCAAGGAUAGACGACAGAGAGAAAGCAGGAUAUAUUGCAUGCACAAUUGCCGUGAGUAUCUUUUCUAUCAUUAUUUUUUUCUUUUCCAAUUUUAUGAAAGCCAUCCUUCCUGCCUUGUAUUGAUCAUCAAUUUAACCAUUAUAUAUAUGUAUCUUAUGUAUUUGUACCAUGCUUUAUCUUCAAUGCAAAUAUAAGUUAAACUACAAAGAUUGGAUUGUUAAAAAAAGUUUAAAAUGUUAAAAAAAUUGAAAAUUUUGAUUUUGUAAGAAUGAUAGAAAACCAAGGCCAGUGCUUGCAUAUGUUAUCUACUACAUGCACAAUCGGGUCGAUGUCUGUAUAUGUUUCAUGUUUAGAAAUCGUGUUCAAUUGGGUUACGAUAUGUACAAUUGAAGUGUCAAUUUAUAAUUUCCUUAUCAAGAUUACACAUUUUUUUGUUAAUAUUCGGAAUCACUCAAUGGUUAUAAACCCUGAUUGGAUACUGUCCACAAAGUCUAGUUGGAACAUCCCUUGUAUUCUUUGUCCUUUCUAAGAACUUUCCUUUCCAUCAUUCUCGCUUCUGUUUUUUUUUUCUUCCCUCUACUUUAAGUCAUUAUCUAACGUAGAUAUCCCUUGUAUUCUUUGUCCUUUCUAUGGCAAUCGAGUCAAUUGAUGGCAAGCCAAAAAAACAAAAAGAGCAGCUAUCCUGUCUUACUCGAUUGCCAUCCCUCCUGUUAAACACCAUUAAGAAAAGGAAAAUUUUAGUUAAGCUUUAAAACAGCCAUGUUUUAACGAUGUUGGUGAUGGUGCUUGUGCAGGCCCUUCUUGCUACAAUUACAAUUAUUCUUAGUGCAACAAUUAAAGCUGGUGGGUGAUAAAGCACACCUCUUUUGACUGAGAGAUGUAUAGGUUCCCAAAUAAUAUGUAUAUGCUCCCCCCCCUCCCUUUAUUUUAUUUUAUUUCCAGUAAGUUAUUGUUUAUGAUAAUUUGCAACAAAUGUUUUUGUCAUUAUUUUGUUGGUGAAUGAUAAUAAGAUUAAGCUUUACUUUCUUAAGCUCCAAUUCCUUGGACGUUGGUGAUUUUUUUAUUAUAGUUGAGUCAUUGUAUGGUAUUAAUAUAAUUUAUGUCGCUUAAAAUUUAUAACUAAAAAUAUAAAAUUUAAAUUUUACUUCAAUUUAUUUGUAUUUAUAAAUGGUUAAUUCAAACUUAUUUUUUUCCUCAUUAUAUUUUAUAUUUAAAUUAACAUUUAAACUAUUUUUCAUUAGCAAUGUUGUUAAGAAUUAUAUUUUUUAGCACCAACAUCAAACUUACUAAAAUUAAAUUUUUAACUAUUUAAAAAAAAUAUUUUUAGCUAUUUAUCAUCAUAGAGAAAAAAAGGUGACGUCACCACGCCUCAUGCUUCGACACCACAAACUAGACUCUCAUCACCCGUAUUUAUCAUCGAUUCAAAUUCCAGAACUACCUAAAAAUAUAUCUUCAAACUUCCUCUGGUUAAGUUCAUUGAUAGUCAACUUACUAUCAUUUCUAAAAAAAAAACAAAUAAAUUGGUUAAUAGUAAUCUCAAUGAUUCAAUUUUAUUCUUACCAGUAUCUGUCCUUUAGAAAGGGGCUUAUAAAAGGGGUAGAGGUGAGUAAACUUGAGCUUCAGCUUUCCACAAACACCUUAAUUUGAAGACACAGUUCUCUCAUACUAAAAAAGACAUGGAAGUUUACCUUGUAAUUAGAGAUUUGGUUUCAUUGCUUGUUGUUGGGUUAUUAAUGAUAUGGGGAUGCAGAACUUUAAACUGGGUAUGGCUGGCCCCAAAAAGGCUCGAAAGCUGCUUGAGACAACAGGGUUUUGCAGGGAAUCCUUACAGGUUCCUUUCUGGUGACAUAAAAGAGCUCUCAACUAUGAGCAGACAAACAAGAGCCAAACCUAUGCCUCUUAGUGAUGAUAUUGGGCCUUAUGUUGUUCCUUUUCAACAUCAAACUGCUAACCAGUAUGGUAUGUUUUUUUUGUUUAAUCUGCAAUUUAUGAUAAUUCUUUGUUAUUUAUGUAUGGAAUUUAUUGGGAGGAAAUGCAGGAAAGAAUUCAUUUACGUGGUUUGGUCCAAGACCAAGGGUGAACAUUACGGACCCUGAAAAAAUAAGAGAAAUACUUAACAAAUUUAAUGACUUCCAGAAGAUACAUACCAAUCCACUGCUUAAUUUGCUUGUAAGCGGCCUUGCUAACCUCGACGGAGACCGAUGGAGCAAGCGUAGAAAAAUCAUAAACCCUGCAUUUCAUCAAGAUAAGUUGAAGGUAUAGAAUAGUGAUGGGUAAUCAGACUUUACAGAAAACAUCAUACUUAAACCUAUGCUUUUCUGAUUUAGAAAUAAUUGGAUGCAGAAUAUGUUGCCAGCAUUUUAUCAAAGUUGUAGUGACAUGUUAAGCAAAUGGGAGAAGAUGGUGUGUACAAAAGGAUACAGUGAGUUAGAUGUGUGGCCUUAUCUCGUAGAUUUGACAAGAGAUGUGAUUUCCCGAUCUGCUUUUGGAAGCAGCUUCGAAGAAGGCAAACGAAUUUUCCAAUUACUAGAGGACCAACUCGUUCACAUAAUCAAAUUAAUACAAACUGUUUACAUUCCAGGAUGGAGGUAACCGUCAACUUAAUUUACUUGAAAAAGGUUGCAAAUGUUGGAAUUCGCUAAAUUCGUGUUUGUUUUCUUGAAGGUUUUUGCCAACGAAGACAAACAGGGAGAUGAAGAUGAAACACAGGGACAUAAAAGAGUUGCUUAUGGAAAUGAUAAAGAGAAGGGAGAAGGCAAUUAAAGCAGGGGAAGAGAGCAAUGAGGACUUGUUGGACAUACUUGUGGAAUCCAAUAUCAGAGAAAUGGAAGCAAAGAAUAUUGGGAUGAGCAUUGAGGAUGUGAUUGAGGAAUGCAAGCUGUUUUACUUAGCUGGCCAAGAGACCACUUCGGUCUUACUGGUGUGGACUAUGGUUUUAUUAGCAAGGUAUCCCGAUUGGCAAAGUAAAGCAAGAGAGGAGGUUUUGCAUGUUUUGGGUGACAGUAAACCUGACGCUGAUGGCCUUAAUCGUCUCAAAGUUGUAAGUCCCUAGCAUGUCUUUUGAAGGUCCGAUCAAUGAGGUCGACAACUCAAAAACUUUGUUUCUUUUUUCGCUAAUUCUACAGGUAACAAUGAUAUUGUACGAGGUUCUAAGGCUGUACCCACCGGUGGUUGAGCUAGAACGUUCCGUUCCAAAAGAAAUAAAACUGGGGAAUUUGUUGUUACCAGUAGGAACAGAAGUUUCGGUUCCGAUCCUGCUGAUCCACCAUGACAAAGAUCUUUGGGGCGAUGACGCACGGGAAUUUAAGCCAGAGCGGUUCGCGGAAGGGGUUUCCAAAGCAACAAAGAGUCAAGUCACGUUUCUGCCAUUCGGAUGGGGUCCUAGGAUCUGUAUUGGCCAAAAUUUUGCUAUGAUGGAAGCCAAAAUGGCGAUGGCUAUGAUUCUCCAACGCUUCUGGUUCGAGCUUUCCCCUUCCUAUGCUCACUCUCCUUACGGCAGGGCAACUCUUCGUCCACAGCAUGGUGCACAGAUAAUUUUACAUAAACUUGGCUGUAAUUGAAUUGUUAUGUAAACAAAUCUUUGUGAAAACAUAGCGUUUUAGUUUAUCGUCAAAGUCCGGUGUCUGUAAUGGUACAAAUUCGAUGCAUGAAUAGUAAAGUUUGAGAUGUUUGGUGAAGUCCGAAAUAAUAUGCAGAAAUUGAGUGUGGUAAUUAUCAAUCAAAUAAUUCGGUACAAAGACUUACAUGGAAAUUAAAGCAGGGGGAGUUGAAAAUGACUACUCUGCUUUGGGCAUCAAUUUAGAAAGAUUUAAAGUACAAAUGUGUUAUUAGUUAAGGGAUUUGUUUUAAAGAGGGAAUGACAAUUAAACCUCAUGGUUGAUUUGUGGAAGGGAACCGAUGAUGGGAUGAUUAUUCUUAGUGGUAAAAAAAACUAUUGUGGAGGUUAUUAUACUUGUUAUCAUCGGCUUAAAAUUCGAAUGGGUUCAAGUCGGAUUAUAUCGAGCUUGUAAGAUGAGUUCACGGAUCAAAUUUGCAUAAUAAAAAUACUUAAAUGAAAAAAAUUUCUAUUUUAGAGGGACCAGAGCCCCUACCAAUUCCCGGCUCAGCUACUAAACAAUACCCAUAUCAUAUAAAUAAAUACCACCAUAAAAAAAACUCAAAGAAAAACACUGACAAAUGAUAAAUAGAUAGAUGUUGGAUAAGUGUCCAAAAUAUGAUUUAAGUGAAGAUACAUGGGGUAGGUGUCACGGAAAUGUGAAUACAAGAAUACUACUAAUGGGAUGUGUACAGUUGAAUGUAGGGAGCAAAAAGAGGAGUGAAUCAUUUUGGUAACAUUGGGACAAGAAACAUAAUGAACAAAAUGGAAGGAGAGGAAGCUAGUAAAAGAAAUUUUUUGGGUCAUAUAAUUUGUUUGGCAUAUAUUUUUAUAAUUUUUAAAUAUCAUUUUGGACUUGAAUUAUAAUUUUUUUAUAUAUUAUCUUAAAAUUGUAUAAAUUUUAAGGAGUUAAAACAAAAUUAUUCUAUUUUUAGAUGGUUAAAGUAGAGAUGAUAAUGGGUUGAGCUAUUCGGCCCAGCCUGACGAUCCACCCGAAAAAUAGGAAGGUUUGGGUAAAAAUAUAGGCUUGAAAUAUGAAUUUGAGCAAAAAAAGAGGCCCGUUUAGAAAAUGGGCCGAGCCUCGGGUAAAACCUUUUGGGUCUAGACCUGACCUAAAUUAUAUAUUAAAUAUAUAUAUUUUUAUUUUUAAUCAAAUAUACUUUUGUUUUAUUAUUAAUUUGGUUAUUAUUUUAGUUCUAAUUUGUUUCAAUUUUAAUAUAACUACUUUUUAUUAUAUUUUCAAUUUGUGCAUUGUUUUAAGAAUUAUUUUAGUCUCAUUAUUUAUUUAUUUUUUAUUUUAAUAUUUGUUUUAAAAUUUUUUAUUUAUUGAAAUAAGCUAAAAAAAUUAAUAUGGGUUGGACCAGACCGGGCUCGGGCCUAGUAAUUUUCUUUUGGGCCGGACUUAAACAAAUUUUUAAGCCCAUAUUUUGAAUUGGGUCCUACACUAGAAAAUGGACCUAAAAUUUUGUAUUACCUUUAGGUCAGAGCUAUCCUCGUUUUGCAUUUCUUUGAGAUUCAGCCUUAUUUACUUUUGAUUGCCCACUCAAUAGAGGGUUGAGUAGAAAUAUUUGGUGAAGCAAGCUAAGCUAUCAAUCAAGGUGUGCAUAAUUAUUUAAAUGUAAUUCUAAUAUUAAAAUAAAAUUUUUAUUAAUAUAGUAUCAACAAGCAUUAAAUGUAAUCAUCAUAUACUAUUAAAUUUUCAAUAAGAGAAAACAAGCUUGAACUUUAAAAACGAUGUUACUAAAAACAUUAUCACAAAUCUUGAAAUAUAAAAAAUACUUUUUAAUAUAAUAAAAAAAUAAUUUUAAAACCGAGAUGAAUAAAAUUCUAAUUUUAAUUAAUGAUACCAACAACAAAUCAAUAUUUAAAUUAAAAUUUAUCUUAAUUUAAUAUAAUAAAAUUGGACUUGAAUAUUGAAUUUUUGAGUCUUGGGCAAAGUAGAGGUGCUCAUGGGCCGGGUUGGGUCGGGUUUGGGAAAAAUUUCGGCCCGCAUCCUAGGCUCGGGCUCGGCCCGACCCAAAUAUGGGCCUAAAAUUUUGUCUAGGCCUAGCCCGGCCCGGCCCAACUCAUUUUUUUUAAUAAACACCAAAAAUUUAUUUUGAAAAUAAAAAAAUAAAAAAAGUAUUUUAAAAAUAUUUUAAAAUUUUUAAAAAAUAUAUAUAUUUAUUAUAUAUUCGGGCCGGGCCAGGCCCGAGCCAAAAAAGUGGCGCCCAAGGCCCGGCCUGUUUUCUAAACGGGACUCAUUUUUUACCCAAACCCAUAUUUCGGGCCUAUAUUUCUACCCGAAUCUCUCAUAUUUAGGGCGAACCGUCGGGCCGGACCGGGCCGCCCGGCCAUGAACACCUCUAGGACAAAGUCACUCAAUGAAUGCAUGGAAAGAAAUAAUGCAACUUGGUGAUAGCUUUUGUUGGAGUUAUAUGCUUUUUUUUUACGUAGUGGAACUUUCGGUGGAUUUUCAAGUUUCAUGAACUUUAUACUCUAUGCUUUACGUGAAAAAAAAAAUUCAUUGGACUUAAAAGUCUACCAAAAGUUUCACUAAAAAAAAAACCAUUGCUACAAGAUUACAACAUAAAGUUACAAUAAGAGCUUAUAACUCAACAAAGGCUAUCAAUAAAUAAUCUCAAACAAAUUAAAGAGAAAUGUUGAGAGUACCACUCGAAUAGUGAUUAACUUUAAAAAUUGAAAACCCAAAGUUAUAAUAUCCCAAACGAAAUCAAACCAUAAACAUUAAAUUUUUCGAGUCUACUAGAUACUGCAAAAAAUUCAGCUCCAACAGACACCAAAUGAACCUAUGAUCGAAGAAAAUACGAAAACUAGUCUAGCUAAAUCAAGCUGCCAAACUUACUUUUUAUCUUAUCUUUAAUUUGCUGUGAAAUUCAAAACUAAGGUUUUGUACUUAGAACAACUUUCAAAAAGUUAAUUUUGAAAAAUGGAUUGAAUUUUCAAAAUAGAUGAUAUUUUAUUGUGUUAAAAUUUUAUUCGUUGUUUGAAAAAAAAUUUAAAUCAUUUUCUUAGAAUUAUUUUUAGUGAAACAAACAUAUCAUAAAUAUAUUUGUUAUAAAAUAUUUAUAUUAAUAUUUUCUUUUAACAAUUAAAAUAUAUUUUGUGAUAAGGUAUAUUUUAUAAUAAUUAAUAUCAUAUAUACUUAAUAAUAAAUCAUGUCUAAUUAAAAUUUAAUUUCAAUUAAAUAUAUUAAUAAAGCUACAUAUAAUCAUAUUUUAUAUAAUAAAAAUAUUAAUAUAAAUAUUUUUUUAAUAAUAUAUUAAAGAAUAUUUAAAAUUUAAAUUUAUUAUUACUAAGAUUAAUUAUUAAAAUAAAAAUGUAAUGUUAAAUAAUUUAUCCAAUGAUAAGUUAUAUUAAUAAUUUAUUAUAUUAUUAAAUAUAAAUAAUUAAAUAUGUAUGUUUAAUAAUAUUAUGUUAUAAUAUUUAUUAUUAAUAUUUUAAUAUUUUUAAACAACCAUGUUUUAAAGAUGGUGGUGAUGGUGAUGGUGCAGGCCCCCUUGUUACAAUUACAAUAUUUUUAAGUGGGAUGCAUGUAAUAUAUUGUUAGGGUUUUAGAGUGUGUGGUCUUUAAAAGGGUUAAAUUAUAUAUUUAUAUAAUAUGAUUAUUGUUUAUAAAUAUAAUAUUGUAGAUAAACUUUUAUGCAUGUCAAUAUGUAUCCUACUCUGGGGUUAAUAUGUAUUUUUAGAUAUGGAUUCACCUAUAUAAUAGUAUGAAUCCAUCAUGCGGUCUCAUGAAAUAUACAAACACAUAUCGUGCGAACACAAAGUACGAACAAUAAAAAGUACAAAUCAAGACCAAUUGAGUAAUUGAAUAGCAGAUAGGUAAUAAUGACUAUCCCCUCUUGUUUGAAUUUAUUUUAUUUCCAGUGAGUUAUCGUUUAUGAUAAAUUUACAACAAAUGUUUUUAUCAUUAUUUUGUUGGUAAAUGAUAAUAAGAUUAAACUUUACUUUCUUAAGCUCCUUCAAUUCUUUGGACGUUAGCAAGUAAACUUGAGCUUCAGCAUUCCACAAACACCUUAAUUUGAAGACACAGUUCUCCCAUACUAAAAACAACAUGGACGUUUACCUUGUAAUUAGAGAUUUGGGCUCAUUGUUAGGUUAUUAAUGAUACGGGGAUGGAGAGCUUUAAACUGGGUAUGGCUGGCCCCAAAGAGGCUCGAAACGUGCUUGAGACUAGAGGUCCAGGCAAAUUUUUAGGCCCAUUUUUUAGGCCUGGACUGGGCCCGACUCGAAAUAUGAGCUUAAAAAUUUGUCUAAGUUCGGUCCAAAAGAAAAUUGUUAAGCCUAAGCCCGGCCCAUAUUAAAUUUUACAACACCAAAAAACUAUAUAUUUAAUAUAUAUAUUUGAUUAAAAAGUAUAUUUAAUUAAAAAUAAAAAUAUAUAUUUAAUAUAUAAUUCGGGCCGGGCCGAACUCGGGCCAAAAAAGUUUUACUCGGGGCUGGUCCGUUUUCUAAACAGACCUCGUUUUUUUGUCAAAAUCCAUAUUUUAGGCUUAUAUUUUUACCCGAAACUUCCUAUUUUUCGGGUGAACCGUCAGGCCGGACUAGGUAGCCCAACCAAUGAUCACCUCUACUUGAGACAACAGGGUUUUGCAGGGAAUUCUUACAGGUUCGUUUCUGGCGACAUAAAAGAGCUCUUCACUAUAAGCAUACAAACAAGAGCCAAACCUAUGCCUCUUAGUGAUGAUAUUGGGCCUUAUGUUGUUCCUUUUCAACAUCAAACCGUCAAUCAGUAUGGUAUGUUUUUUAAUUUAAUCUGCAAUUUAUGAUAAUUCUUUGCUAUUUAUGUAUGGAAUUUAUUGGGAGGAAAUGCUGGGAAGAAUUCAUUUACGUGGAUUGGUCCAAGAUCAAGGGUGAACAUUACGGACCCGGAAAAAUAAGAGAAAUACUUAACAAAUUUAAUGACUUCCAGAAGGUACGUACCAAUCCACUGCUUAAUUUGCUUGUAAGCGGCCUUGUUAACCUCGAAGGAGACCGAUGGAGCAAGCAUAGAAAAAUCAUAACCCUUCAUUUCAUCAAGAUAAGUUGAAGGUAUAGAAUAGUGAUGGGUACUUAGACUUAAUUUACAGAAAACAUCAUACUUAAAUCUAUGCUUUUCUGAUUUAGAAAUGAUUGGAUGCAGAAUAUGUUGCCAGCAUUUUAUCAAAGUUGUUGUGACAUGUUAAGCAAAUGGGAGAAGAUGGUGUGUACAGAAGGAUACAGUGAGUUAGAUGUGUGGCCUUAUCUUGUAGAUUUGACAAGAGAUGUGAUUUCCCGAUCUGCUUUUGGAAGCAGCUUCGAAGAAGGCAGACGAAUUUUCCAAUUACUAGAGGACCAACUCGUUCUCACAAUCAAAUUAAUACAAACUGUUUACAUUCCAGGAUGGAGGUAACCCUCAACUUAAUUUACUUGAAAAAGGUUGCAAAUGUUGGAAUUGGCUAAAUUCGUGUUUGUUUUCUUGAAGGUUUUUGCCAACAAAGACAAACAGGGAGAUGAAGAUGAAACACAGACAUAAAAGAGUCGCUUAGGGAAAUGAUAAAGAGAAGGGAGAAGGCAAUUAAAGCAGGGGAAGAGAGCAAUGAGGACUUGUUGGACAUACUUGUGGAAUCCAAUAUCAGAGAAAUGGAAGCAAAGAAAAAGGGGAUGAGCAUUGAGGAUGUGAUUGAGGAAUGCAAGCUGUUUUACUUUGCUGGCCAGGAGACCACUUCGGUCUUGCUGGUGUGGACUAUGGUUUUAUUAGCAAGGUAUCCCGAUUGGCAAAGUAAAGCAAGAGAGGAGGUUUUGCAUGUUUUGGGUGACAGUAAACCUGAUGCUGAUGGCCUUAAUCGUCUCAAAGUUGUAAGUCCCUAGCAUGUCUCUUGAAGGUCCGAUCUCUGAGGUCGACAACUCAAAAACUUGGUUUCUUUGUUUCGCUAAUUCUACAGUUAACAAUGAUAUUGUACGAGGUUCUAAGGCUGUACCCACCAGUGAUUGAGCUAGGACGUUCCGUUCCAAAAGAAAUAAAACUGGGAAAUUUGUUGUUACCAGCAGGAACAGACGUUUCGGUUCCAAUCCUGCAGAUCCACCAUGACAAAGAUCUUUAGGGCGACGACGCACGGGAAUUUAAGCCACAGCGGUUCACGGAAGGGGUUUCCUAAGCAACAAAGAGUCAAGUCACGUUUCUGCCAUUCGGAUGGGGUCCUAGGAUCUGCAUUGGCCAAAACUUUGCCAUGAUGGGAACCAAAAUGGCGAUGGCUAUGAUUCUCCAACGCUUCUGGUUCGAGCUUUCCUCUUCCUAUGCUUACUCUCCUUACAACAUGGCAACUCUUCGUCCACAGCAUGGUGCACAGAUAAUUUUACAAAAACUUGGCUGUAAUUGAAUUGUUAUGUAAACAAAUCUUUGUGAAAAUAUAGUGUUUUAGUGUAUCGUCAAAGUCUGCCUGUAAUGGUACAAUUCCGAUGCAUGAAUAGUAAAUCUUGAGAUGUUUGGUGAAGUCCGAAAUAAUAUGCAGAAAUUGAGUGUCUUGAAUGGAUGUAGUAUUUAAUGGUGGACAUAGUUGAGGGACUAAUGUGGUAAUUAUCAAACAAAUAAUUGCAUAUGGUACAAAGACUUGUAUGGAAAUUAGAGCAGGGCGAGUUGAAAAUUACUACUUUGCUUCGGGCAUCAAUUUAGAAAGAUUUAAAGUACAAAUGUAUUAUUAGUUUAAGGGAUUUGUUUUAAAGAAGGAAUGACAAUUAAACCUCAUGGUUGAUGUGUGGAAGGGAACCAAUGAUGGGAUGAUUACUCUUAGUGGUAAAAAAAAAAACUAUUAAGGUGGUUAUUAUAGUUGUUAUCACCGGCCCAAAAUUCGAAUAGGUUCAGGUCGGAUUAUAUUGAGCUUGUAGAUGAGUUUGCAUGAUAAUAGGUGUUCACAGAAAGAUAUCUAUAGUUUCCUACAAAGUCACAUGUGAGAUCGUGCAUUGGGACCGCAUAAAAAUGUUUUAUGUUUAGAAUAUGAUACGUGUCUAUGUGUAUGGAAUCUACCUAAUAUAUCAUAUUAAUUAAUAGUAUCAAUUGCGGAGCCAAAAAAUUAUUUCUGAGGGGUCAGAAUUAAAUUGUAUAUUUUUACAAAAAUAAAAAUUAAAUUUCACUAUUUUAAUAGUUUAUUUCUUUUUAAUUUUUAAAUGAUUAAAUUAAAUUUUUAUAAAUUUUUGGGAUCAAAGUACAAUUUUAUCAUUUCUAAUUUAAAAUUUUAUAAAAUAUAAAAAGUUUAUAUGAAAAGUUUUCUAUUUUAGAGUGGCCAAAGCCCCUGCCAACUUCCGACUCGAUCACUAAACAAUAUAAAUAAAUAAAUACCACCAUCUAAAAGACUCAAGAAAAACACUCAACGAUAAAUAGAUAGAUGUUGGGUAAAGAUACGUUUGGAUGGGCGGUGCGUUUACUUGCGGUUAGUAUAAAAAUAGCGGUGGCGGUUAGAUUAGAUACUAUAGCAACACUGUAGCGUAAGACAAAAAAUAAGCUAAACGUACUGCACUGCACUUAAUCGCCCAUCCAAACUCACCCUAAGUGUACAAAAUAUGAUUUAAGUGAAGAUACGUAGGGUAGGUGUCAUGGAAAUGUAAAAGACAAGAAUCCCACUAAUGUAUGGGAUGUGUACAGCUGAAUGUAGGGAGCAAAGAGGAGUGAAUCAUUUUGGUAACAUUUGGACAAGAAACAUAAUGAACAAAAUGAAAGGAGAGGAAGCUAGUAAAAGAUUUUUUUGAGUUAUAUAAUUUGUUUGGCAUAUAUUUUUAUAAUUUUUAAAUAUCAUUUUGGAGUUGAAUUAUAAUUUCUUUUUAUGUUUUAAAACAUAAUUAUUCUAUCUUCAAAGGGUUAGAGUAGAGGUGAGCAUGGGUCGGGCUACUCGGCCCGAAAUGUGAGAGAUUUGGGCAAAAAUAUAGGCUCAAAAAAUGGACUUGGACAAAAAAAUAUAAGACCCGUUGAAAAAUGGGCCGGGCAUUGGGUAAGGCAUUUUUGGCCCUGGGCCCGGCCCAAUCCUAAUUCACUAAAGGACAAAAAAAAUUUGAUUUUUAAAUAUUAUUUUCUUCCUAUUUUGCUACCAUUUUACUAUUAUGUUGCUACUAUUUUGUUGUUAUUUUUUGGAUAUUGUAUAAAACUUAUUUUAUUGUUAAUUUUGUUAUUAUUUUAAAGACAUUUGUUAAUUUUGUUAUUAUUUUAGAGACAUUUGCUUGUUAAGUUGUAUCUAUCUUAGUGUUAUUUAAGUGUACAUAUUUUUUAAAAUUUAUUUUCAAUUUAUUGGGAAAUAUUUAUUUUGAUGUUUUUAGUAUUUUGGAUGUAUUAUAUAUAUUAAAAUUAUAUAAAAAUUAAUAUGGCCGAGCCGAGUCAGGCCCAGAUUUUAGCAUUUUUAUUCAGGUCGGGCUUGAGCAAAAUUUUAAGCCCAUUUUUUGGGCCAAACCAGGCCUGGGCUUAGCAAAUGGGCCUAAAUUUUUAGUCAAGCCCGACCUAAACCCGAUCCGGCCCAUGCUCACCUCUAGAUCAGAGCUGCCCUCGCUUUGCAUUUCUUUGAGAUUCAGUCUUAUCUACUGUUGAUUGCCCACUCAAUGGAGGGUUGAGUAGAAAGAUUUGGUGAAGCAAGCUAAGCUAUCAAUCAAGGUUGGAGAAAGCUUAGGAGGUCACAAUGCAUAAUUAUUUAAAUGUAAUUCUAAUAUUUAAAUAAAAUUUAUUAAUAUAGUAUUAACAAGCCCUAAAUGUAAUGAGUAUAUACUAUUACAUUUUUAAGAAGAGAAAACAUGUUUGAACCUUAAAAACAUCAUUAUUAAAAAUGAUAAUUACAAAUUUUAAAAUAUAAAAAAUAUAAUUAAAAAUUAAUUUUAAACCCGAGCUGGAUAAAAUUCUAAUUUUAGAUAACGAUACUAAUAAGAAAUCAAUAUUAAAAUGAAAAUGAAAAGUAAUUUAAUAUAAUUUUUGAGUCUUGGGCAAAGGCACUCAAUGAAUGCUUGGAAAGAAAUAAUGCAACUUGGUGAUAGCUUUUGUUGGAGUAGUAUGCUCUUAUUAUAGUUUUAUGUUUUUAUCUUGCAAAAACAACAUAUUGGAGUUUUCGGCAUGAUUUUUUCUUAAUACUUUACAUGAAAAAUAAUAAUGGGACUUAAAAAUCUAUCAAAAGCUUCACCAUAAUAAUAAUAAUAAUAAUAAUAAUAAUAAAUUGCUACAAUAUUACAACACAAAGUUACAAUAAGAGCUUAUAACUCAACAAAGGUUAUCAAUAAAUAAUCUCAGGCAAGCUAAAGAGAAAUGUUGAGAAUACCACCCGAAUAGUGACUGACUUUAAAAGUUGAAAACCCGAAGCUAUAGUAUCUCAAACGAAAUCAAACCAUUAACAUUAAAAUUUUCAAGUCUACUAGCUACUGUAAAAAAUGCAGCUCCAACAUACACCAAAUGAGUCUUUGAUCGAAGAAAGUACAAAAACUAGUCUGGGUAAACCAAGCUGCCAAACUUACUUAUCUUAUCUUUAAUUUUGCAGUGAAAUUAAAAAUUAAGUUUUUGUUUAUUUCACUUGGAACAACUUUCAAAAAAUUAUUUUUGAAAAAUGGAUUGGUUUUUCGAAAUAGAUGAUAUUUUAUUGUGUUAAAAUUUUAUUCGUUGUUGGAAAACUUUUUUUAAAUCAUUUUCUUAAAGUUAUUUUUAGUGAAACAAACAUAACAUAAAUAUAUUUGUUACAAAAAAAUUAUAUUAGUAUUUUCUUUUGACAAUUAAAAUUUAUUUUAUGAUAAGACAAUAUUUUGUAAUAAUUAAUAUCAUAUAUAUAUACGUAAUAAAAAAAUCUUGUUUAAUUAAAAUUUAAUUAAAAUUAAAUAUAUUAAUAAAGCUACAUAUAAUCAUAUUUUUUAUAAUUAAAAUAUUAAUAUAAAUAUUUUUCAAUAAUAUAUUAAAAUAUUAAAAUUUAAAUUAUUAUUACUUAAAUUAAUUAUUAAAAUAAAAAAUUUAAUAUUAAAUAAUUUAUUCAAUGAUAAGUUUUAUUAAUAAUUUAUUGUAUUAUUAAAUAUAAUUAAUUAAAUAUGCAUAUUUAAUAAUAUUACGUUAUAAUAUUUUAAUAUUCUUAAACAGCCAUGUUUUUAAGAUGCUGGUGAUGGUGAUGCUGCGGGCCUCUCUUGUUACAAUUACUAUAAUUUUUUGUGCAAUAAUUGAAGUUGUUGGGUGGUCAAGCAAACCUCUUUUGACUGAGAUGCAUAUAAUAUACCCGCAUGUCCCCGCCUCCUAAAAUUUAAAUUUGUUAUUUGAAUCUUUAAAUUUUUUAAUAUAAUAUACCCGCAUGUCCCCGCCUCCUAAAAUUUAAAUUUGUUAUUUGAAUCUUUAAAUUUUUUAAAAAUUUUAAAUUCAUAAAAGUAAAAUUAUACUUUGACCCUCUAAAAUUAUAAAAAUUUAAUUAAUCUUUUAAAUUCAUUGGGCCCCUAAUAUAUUGUUCAGGCUUCACCCUUGAUACUGAUGUUGACUAUUUUAGAGUAUGUGUCUUCUUUAACAGGGUUAAAUUAUAUAUUUAUAUAAUAUAGUUAUUGUUUAUGGACGUGACAUCGUAACUAGGUUCUUAUGCAUGUCAACAUAUAUCCUAUUUUAAGGUUAACACGUAUUUUUAAAUGUGAAUUCACCUAUAUAAUGGUAUGAACCAUCAUGCAGUCUCAUAAAAUAUGCGAAUAUAUGUCGUGCGAACACAAAGUACAAUCCACACAGAAUACGAAUUAAGACCCAAUUGAAUAAUCGGAUACGAAUCAGUAAUAAUGAAUUUCAUAACAGCCACCAACCCCUCUUUUGUUUUAAUUUAUUUUAUUUCCAGUAAGUUAUUGUUUGUGAGAAUUCACAACAAAUGCUUUUGUCAUUAUUUUGUUGGUAAAUAAUAAUAAGAUUAAACUUUACUUUCUUAAGCUCCUUCAAUUCUUUGGAAGUUGGUGGUUUUUUAUUCUAAUCUUAUUUUUUUUAUUAAUUUCUUUUUUUAUAAUAAAUGUGUUUAUAGAUCAGGUUGGAUUAUAAUUGAAUCAUUGUCUGGUAUUAACAUAAUUUAAAUCGAUUAAAAUUUAUUCGACUGGAAAUAUAAAUUUAAAAUUUUACUUCAAUUUAUCUUAAUUUAUAAAUUGUGAAUUUAAAUUUAUUUAUUUUCUCUCAUUAUAUUCAGUUUUUCGGAUCAUAUUUGGCCCAGAACAAAAACUAGAACAAAAAAACAAAUAUAUAUGUUUUCCAAAAAUUAAAUUGUUAACUUUAAAAAAAUAUAUUUUUAGCUAUUUAUCAUCAUAGAGAAAAACAAAUAAGGUCACCUCGCCUUAUGCUUCAACACCUCAACCUAGAUUCUCAUCACCUGUAUUUAUCAUCGAUUCAGAUUUUUAUUUUUACUAUAUUCUAGAUCUACCUAUAAAUAUAUCUUCAAACUUCCUCUGGUUAAGUUCAUUCAUAGAUAGGUGAGUAAACUUGAGCUUCAGCUUCAACAAACACCUUAGUUUGCAAUUCUCUCAUACUAAAAAUAUGGAAGUUUACCAUGUAAUUAGAGAUUUGGUCUCAUUGCUUGUUGUUGGUUUAUUAAUGAUAUGGGGAUGGAGAGCUUUAAACUGGGUAUGGUUGGCCCCAAAGAGGCUCGAAAGGUGCUUGAGACAACAGGGUUUUGCAGGGAAUCCUUACAGGUUCCUUUCUGGUGACAUAAAAGAGCUCUUAACUAUGAGCAGACAAACAAGAGCCAAACCUAUGCCUCUUAGUGAUGAUAUUGGGCCUUAUGUUGCUCCUUUUCUUCAUCAAACUGUCAACCAGUAUGGUAUGUUUAAUUAUUAUUUAAUCUUCAAUUUAUGAUAAUUCUUUGUUAUUUAUGAAUGGAAUUUAUUGGGAGGAAAUGCAGGAAAGAAUUCAUUUACGUGGAUUGGUCCAAGACAAAGGGUGAACAUUAUGGACCCUGAAAAAAUAAGAGAAAUAUUUACCAAAUUUAAUGACUUCCAGAAGGUGCGUACCAAUCCACUGCUUACUUUGCUUGUAAGCGGCCUUGUUAACCUCGAAGGAGACCGAUGGAGCAAACAUAGAAAAAUCAUAAACCCUUCAUUUCAUCAAGAUAAGUUGAAGGUAUAGAAUAGUGAUGGGUACUUAAGACUUAAUUUACAGAAAACAUGAUACUUAAAUCUAUGCUUUUCUGAUUUAGAAAUGAUUGGAUGCAGAAUAUGUUGCCAGCAUUUUAUCAAAGUUGUUGUGACAUGUUAAGCAAAUGGGAGAAGAUGGUGUGUACAGAAGGAUACAGUGAGUUAGAUGUGUGGCCUUAUCUUGUAGAUUUGACAAGAGAUGUGAUUUCCCGAUCUGCUUUUGGAAGCAGCUUCGAAGAAGGCAGACGAAUUUUCCAAUUACUAGAUGACCAACUCGUUCUCAGAAUCAAAUUACUACAAACUGUUUACAUUCCAGGAUGGAGGUAACCCUCAAUUUACUUGAAAAAGGUUGCAAAUGUUGGAAUUGGCUAAAUUCGUGUUUGUUUCCUUGAAGGUUUUUGCCCACAAAGACAAACAGGGAGGUGAAGAUGAAACACAAAGACAUAAAAGAGUCGCUCAGGGAAAUGAUAAAAAGAAGAGAGCAGGCAAUUAAAGCAGGGGAAGAGAGCAAUGAGGACUUGUUGGACAUACUUGUGGAAUCCAAUAUCAGAGAAAUGGAAGCAAAGAAAAAGGGGAUGAGCAUUGAGGAUGUGAUUGAGGAAUGCAAGCUGUUUUACUUUGCUGGCCAGGAGACCACUUCGGUCUUACUGGUGUGGACUAUGGUUUUAUUAGCAAGGUAUCCCGAUUGGCAAAGUAAAGCAAGAGAGGAGGUUUUGCAUGUUUUGGGUGACAGUAAACCUGAUGCUGAUGGCCUUAAUCGCCUCAAAGUUGUAAGUCCCUAGCAUGUCUUUUGAAGGUCCGAUCAAUAAGGUCGACAACUCAAAAAUUUGGUUUCUUUUUUCGCUAAUUCUACAGUUAACAAUGAUAUUGUACGAGGUUCUAAGGCUGUACCCAUCAGCGACUGAGCUAGGACGUUCCGUUCCAAAAGAAAUAAAACUGGGAAAUUUGUUGUUACCAGCAGGAACAGAAAUUUCGGUUCCGAUCCUGCUGAUCCACCAUGACAAAGAUCUUUGGGGCGAUGACGCACGGGAAUUUAAGCCAGAGCGGUUCGCGGAAGGGGUUUCCAAAGCAACAAAGAGUCAAGUCACGUUUCUGCCAUUCGGAUGGGGUCCUAGGAUCUGCAUUGCCCAGAAUUUUGCUAU